rnacentral:lncRNA from 1 species
AAUAGGUGGAAGGGGAAUUUCAGGAUUUCUGGGGUCUAUUACCCUCAGAACUGCCCCCUCCGUAGUUCCGUGGAAAAUCAACCCGUUUUGAUAAACACUGGGCUCCCCCUGCCCGCCCCGCGAAGAACAGGCGCCACUCAUAUUCUGACGUCGAAGACUUCCCCAGUGCUUGGCUUCGCGGACAGGCCACAGUGUCAGAUGAGAGGGAGUUGAACUUGUCAAAUGAAUGUCUACAGUGAUAUGUAUGAAGCAAAGGGAAGAAGCAUUCUUGCUGACUAACUAUCAGACCUUUUGCAAACAGGAUGCAGCACGUGACAAAUGGGAAGAGGCACCAUGCGCAGGGGAUCUUAAUCACUUUGAAUCCUGUGCUCAAAAGGCUUCACUUCUGCAUGGUGAUUGAUGUAGACGCAUUACUACCAAGUUAAGUUACAAUGUCCUCCAUUCAUUCAUUUGCCAAAAUGGCCCAAAUGUCACCCAAUACACCAAAUUAAAAAAAA